CACCUCCCACUCUCCAGCUUCUCUAGUACCUGCAGGUGCCUCAGGGAAGCUGAGGCUCAGAUCUAACCUGCCCUCUGCCAUCCACCGGAGUAGUCUCCCAGGUCCGCCUGGGCUUCUCUCCACCAGGCAGGAACCUGAACCAUGCUGAGUUCCCUUGCUGUCCUGUGUGUCCUCCUGUUUCCCGGUGGUGCAGCGGGGCUCAAGCUGGAGCAGACUCCUGUGGUCGUGGGGCGCUUGGGCACCUUGGCCACCCUGCCGUGCACAGUGGAUACCUCGGUGAGCUACAUCCACUGGUACUUCCACAAGGAGGAUACAGCCCCCAAGAGGCUCCUCUACCUAGACAUGUCCAGGUCGUAUGUGCAGAGGGAUAUAUUCGUGAAAGCAGACAAAGUCAACGCCAAGAAAGGCAGGAACAGUUACAGCUGUAACCUGUUGUUGCAGAAACUGGAGAAGAGUGAUGAGGGCGUGUACUACUGCGCUGCCUGGGAAGAUUGUUACUGGAAUAGUUGGAGCAACAAAGUGUUUGGUCCUGGCACAAUUCUCAGGGUUACAGAUAAAAGUCCUGAAGACAUUUCCCCCAAGCCCACAAUUUUUCUUCCUUCGAUUGCUGAAAUAAAAGCCCAUCAGGUUGGAACGUAUAUUUGUCUUCUUGAGGAUAUUAUUCCUGAUAUUUUUAAGAUAGAUUGGAAAGAAAAGAACAGCAAAACAAUUCUGCAAUCCCAGCAGGGAAACACCGUGAAGACUAAGGACACAUACAUGAAAUUCAGCUGGGUGACUGUGACUGAAAAAUCAAUGGAUAAAGAACACCAAUGCAUUGUCAAAGAUGAGAGGAAUAAAGAAAGGGUUAAUCAAGAGAUUGAUUUUCCUUCAAUAAACAAAGAAUUUGCUGCUAUUAACUCUACAGAAGCUUCCCUGCAUGAUGAAAAUGACCCCCUGCAGCUUCAACUCAUGAACACCUCUGCCUACUACACCUACCUCCUCCUCCUCCUGAAGAGCCUGAUGUACUCCAUCAUCACUGCCAUCUGUCUGCUUGGGAGAUCAGUGUUCGAUGGCAAUGGGAAGAGUUCUUAACAUGAUGCCUACAGGGUCCACUUAUUCCCAUUGGCUUUUGUCCCUAUAAAUGUCUGCUGAGGAUCUAGUGGGGUUUUGUUUCUAUGAUUGGGUUAUUUCCUUUCACAUGUAUCUUUCUCUGUAGGGUCACAAUGCAGAAUGGGUUUAUAAACUCCUGGGCAAACACAAACUUUCACUCUGCAGCAAGAACAAAUUCUGCUAUGACUCAGGGGUGGGGACAGGGGGCCAUCCCCAGGGGCUUCAUCACUUCUCUCUCUUAAUGCCCACCCACUCCCCAGCCACGCAGUACCCAUGCCUCUGUGUACAGUCUGCAUGCAGCUUCCAGCUGUGUCCUUGAACUCUUUUACCGUAUGAUUUCUUGGAAGCCCUUUAUUGUACAUACCUAGAAGAUCACCUCCUUACUGAUUUACCUUUGUACUGUUUUUCAUAAUAAAAAUUAUCAAAAAUCUA